AUUGAACGCUGGCGGCAUGCCUUACACAUGCAAGUCGAACGGCAGCACGGACUUCGGUCUGGUGGCGAGUGGCGAACGGGUGAGUAAUAUAUCGGAACAUACCCUAGAGUGGGGGAUAACGUAGCGAAAGUUACGCUAAUACCGCAUACGCACUAAGGUGGAAAGUGGGGGAUCGCAAGACCUCAUGCUCAUGGAGUGGCCGAUAUCUGAUUAGCUAGUUGGUGAGGUAAAGGCUCACCAAGGCGACGAUCAGUAGCUGGUUUGAGAGAACGACCAGCCACACUGGAACUGAGACACGGUCCAGACUCCUACGGGAGGCAGCAGUGGGGAAUUUUGGACAAUGGCGCAAGCCUGAUCCAGCAAUGCCGCGUGAGUGAAGAAGGCCUCGGUUGUAAGCUCUUUGUUCUAGGGAGAAACGGUAGGUGGUUAAGUAACCUGCUGCUAAUGACGGUACCUGAAGAAUAAGCACCGGCUAACUACGUAGCCACG
rnacentral:rRNA from 1 species